rnacentral:rRNA from 1 species
ACAAGCGGUGGAGCAUUGUGGUUUAAUUCGACGCAACGCGAAAAACCUUACCUGGGCUUGACAUGGAGAGAAUCUCCUGGAAACAGGAGAGUGCCUCGCAAGAGGAGCUCUCACACAGGUGCUGCAUGGCUGUCGUCAGCUCGUGCCGUGAGGUGUUGGGUUAAGUCCCGCAACGAGCGCAACCCCCAUCCCCAGUUGCCAUCAUUAAGUUGGGCACUCUGAGGAAACUGCCCGGGUUAACCGGGAGGAAGGCGGGGAUGACGUCAAGUCCUCAUGGCCCUUAUGUCCAGGGCUACACACGUGCUACAAUGGGCGGUACAAAGGGUCGCAAACCCGUAAGGGGGAGCUAAUCCACCAAAAGCCGUCCUCAGUUCGGAUUGAGGUCUGCAACUCGACCUCAUGAAGCUGGAAUCGCUAGUAAUCGCGGAUCAGCAUGCCGCGGUGAAUACGUCCCUGCUCCUU